rnacentral:tRNA from 1 species
GCGAUUAGCUCAGUUGGUAGAGCGCUUCGUUUACACCGAAGAUGUCGGCGGUUCGAGCCCGUCAUCGC